rnacentral:rRNA from 2 species
GGUUAAGUUAACAAGGGCGCAUGGUGAAUGCCUUGGCACUAGGAGCCGAUGAAGGACGGGACUAACACCGAUAUGCUUCGGGGAGCUGUACGUAAGCUAUGAUCCGGAGAUUUCCGAAUGGGGCAACCCAGCAGUUUUAAUCAACUGUUACCACUAGAUGAAUUCAUAGUCUAGUUGGAGGUAAACGCUGUGAACUGAAACAUCUCAUUAGCAGCAGGAAUAUAAAGAAAUUUCGAUUCCCUAAGUAGCGGCGAGCGAACGGGGAACAGCCCAAACCAAAGUGCUUGCACUUUGGGGUUGUAGGACUGAACAUUUGAGUUACCAAAGAACUUGAUAGUCGAAGGAUUUGGGAAAAUCCGCCAUAGAUGGUGAUAGCCCAGUAGAUUAAAUCAAAUUCUCUCAGUUCAGGAUCCUGAGUACGGCGGAACACGUGAAAUUCCGUCGGAAUCCGGGAGGACCAUCUCCCAAGGCUAAAUACUACCUAGUGACCGAUAGUGAACCAGUACCGUGAGGGAAAGGUGAAAAGCACCCCGGGAGGGGAGUGAAAUAGUUCCUGAAACCAUGUGCCUACAAUAAGUCAGAGCGCGUUAAUGCGUGAUGGCGUGCCUUUUGUAGAAUGAACCGGCGAGUUAUGAUCCCGUGCAAGGUUAAGACUAAAAAGUCGGAGCCGUAGCGAAAGCGAGUCUGAAAUGGGCGUUUUGAGUACGAGGUUAUAGACCCGAAACCAGGUGACCUAUCCAUGUCCAGGUUGAAGGUGCGGUAAAACGCACUGGAGGACCGAACCCGUGUAAGUUGAAAAUUGCUGGGAUGAGGUGUGGAUAGCGGUGAAAUUCCAAACGAACUUGGAGAUAGCUGGUUCUCUCCGAAAUAGCUUUAGGGCUAGCCUCGGAAUUAGGAUCAUGGAGGUAGAGCACUAUUUGGACUAGGGGCCCGUCUUGGGUUACUGAAUUCAGAUAAACUCCGAAUGCCAUUGAUUCAUAUCCGGGAGUCAGACGAUGAGUGAUAAGAUCCACCGUCGAAAGGGGAACAGCCCAGACCAUCAGUUAAGGUCCCUAAAUGUAUGCUAAGUGGAAAAGGAUGUGGAGUUGCAUAGACAACUAGGAUGUUGGCUCAGAAGCAGCCACCAUUUAAAGAGUGCGUAAUAGCUCACUAGUCGAGUGAUCCUGCGCCGAAAAUGUACCGGGGCUAAGCAUACUACCGAAACCAUGGAUGCGACCAUUAGGUCGCGUGAUAGGAGAGCGUUCUAAGGGCGGUGAAGCAAGAUCGUGAGGACUUGUGGAGCGCUUAGAAGUGAGAAUGCCGGUAUGAGUAGCGAAAGAUAGGUGAGAAUCCUAUCCACCGAAUGACUAAGGUUUCCUGGGGAAGGCUCGUCCUCCCAGGGUUAGUCGGGACCUAAGUCGAGGCCGAGAGGCGUAGACGAUGGAUAACAGGUUGAGAUUCCUGUACUAGUUAAGUGCGUUUGAGCAAUGGAGGGACGCAGGAGGCUAAGAUGUGCAUUCUGUUGGAUUAGAAUGUCCAAGCAGUAAGUCUUGUGAAGAGUCAAAUGCUUUUCACUUUAAGGACAAGCUGUGAUGGGGAGCGAAAUUUAGUAGCGAAGCGUCUGAUGUCACACUGCCGAGAAAAGCUUCUAGUGAGUACUUAACUACCCGUACCGCAAACCGACACAGGUAGUCGAGGAGAGAAUCCUAAGGUGAGCGAGUGAACUCUCGUUAAGGAACUCGGCAAAAUGACCCCGUAACUUCGGGAGAAGGGGUGCUGAUCGCAAGAUCAGCCGCAGUGAAUAGGCCCAGGCGACUGUUUAUCAAAAACACAGGUCUCUGCAAAAUCGUAAGAUGACGUAUAGGGGCUGACGCCUGCCCGGUGCUGGAAGGUUAAAAGGAUGGGUUAGCUUCGGCGAAGCUCAGAAUUGAAGCCCCAGUAAACGGCGGCCGUAACUAUAACGGUCCUAAGGUAGCGAAAUUCCUUGUCGGGUAAGUUCCGACCCGCACGAAAGGCGUAACGAUCUGGGCACUGUCUCAACGAGAGACUCGGUGAAAUUAUAUUGUCCGUGAAGAUGCGGACUACCCGCGACAGGACGGAAAGACCCCAUGGAGCUUUACUGUAGCUUGAUAUUGAGUGUUUGUACAGCUUGUACAGGAUAGGUAGGAGCCAUAGAAACCGGAACGCUAGUUUCGGUGGAGGCGUUGGUGGGAUACUACCCUCGCUGUAUGACCACUCUAACCCGCACCACUAAUCGUGGUGGGAGACAGUGUCAGGUGGGCAGUUUGACUGGGGCGGUCGCCUCCUAAAAAGUAACGGAGGCGCCCAAAGGUUCCCUCAGAAUGGUUGGAGAUCAUUCGCAGAGUGUAAAGGCACAAGGGAGCUUGACUGCGAGACAGACAGGUCGAGCAGGGACGAAAGUCGGGCUUAGUGAUCCGGUGGUACCGUAUGGAAGGGCCAUCGCUCAACGGAUAAAAGCUACCCUGGGGAUAACAGGCUUAUCUCCCCCAAGAGUCCACAUCGACGGGGAGGUUUGGCACCUCGAUGUCGGCUCAUCGCAUCCUGGGGCUGUAGUCGGUCCCAAGGGUUGGGCUGUUCGCCCAUUAAAGCGGUACGCGAGCUGGGUUCAGAACGUCGUGAGACAGUUCGGUCCCUAUCCGUCGCGGGCGUAGGAAAUUUGAGAGGACCUGUCCUUAGUACGAGAGGACCGGGAUGGACAUACCUCUGGUGUACCAGUUGUGCCGCCAGGCGCAUCGCUGGGUAGCUACGUAUGGAUGUGAUAAACGCUGAAAGCAUCUAAGUGUGAAACACACCUCGAGAUGAGAUUUCCCAUUCCUUUAUGGAAGUAAGACCCCUGAAAGAUGAUCAGGUAGAUAGGUUAGAAGUGGCAGUGCGGUGACGCAUGAAGCGGACUAAUACUAAUCGGUCGAGGACUUAACCAA